GUAGGUGAACCUGCGGAGGGAUCAUUACCGAGUUUACAACUCCCAAACCCCUGUGAACAUACCAAUUGUUGCCUCGGCGGAUCAGCCCGCUCCCGGUAAAACGGGACGGCCCGCCAGAGGACCCCUAAACUCUGUUUCUAUAUGUAACUUCUGAGUAAAACCAUAAAUAAAUCAAAACUUUCAACAACGGAUCUCUUGGUUCUGGCAUCGAUGAAGAACGCAGCAAAAUGCGAUAAGUAAUGUGAAUUGCAGAAUUCAGUGAAUCAUCGAAUCUUUGAACGCACAUUGCGCCCGCCAGUAUUCUGGCGGGCAUGCCUGUUCGAGCGUCAUUUCAACCCUCAAGCCCAGCUUGGUGUUGGGACUCGCGAGUUAAAUCGCGUUCCCCAAAUUGAUUGGCGGUCACGUCGAGCUUCCAUAGCGUAGUAGUAAAACCCUCGUUACUGGUAAUCGUCGCGGCCACGCCGUUAAACCCCAACUUCUGAAUGUUGACCUCG
rnacentral:rRNA from 1 species